GGGGAUGUCGGGUAUCGACGUGAAGAUUGUACUUUUAUAAGCGGCUAGAACGGAGUCAUCCGUUAAAUACAAAACACAAACGCAGAAAAACUUUCUGACGUAAUGGCUGGGCAAAAUUUUGCUGACGGUUUCGUUCCUGCAAAGGCACAAACUCGCUUGGCAUUCAAUUUUGCUUAAGUGUUACCCUCUCCUAGCAACGUCUUGAGCUAAGAGAUGAAAAUCAUAGACUAUAGCGCAGCGUGUUUUCGAUGAGCACAUGCGUAGAAAAAACCUCAUCGGCUUUUUUGUAAGGUUUGCGCGUUUACCUGCAAAACAGAAGCAAAAACCAGCUAUUUCUAGCUAUAACGUUUAUAAAAUGCCUUUGCGGACGGGGGUUCAACUCCCCCCAUCUCCACAA
rnacentral:tmRNA from 1 species